UACGGAGGGAGCUAGCGUUGUUCGGAAUUACUGGGCGUAAAAGGCUUGUAGGUGGCCACGCCAAGUCGGAUGUGAAAUCUCCCGGCUCAACUGGGAGGGGUCAUUCGAUACUGGUGGGCUCGAGGCCGGUAGGGGGAAGUGGAAUUCCACGUGUAGCAGUGAAAUGCGUAGAGAUGUGGAGGAACACCGAUGGCGAAGGCAGCCCCCUGGGGUAACACUGACGCUCAUGCACGAAAGCGUGGGGAGCAAACAGG
rnacentral:rRNA from 1 species